rnacentral:rRNA from 1 species
GUGGGGAAUUUUGGACGAUGGGCGAAAGCCUGAUCCAGCCAUGCCGCGUGCAGGAUGAAGGCCUUCGGGUUGUAAACUGCUUUUGUACGGAACGAAAAGACUCCUUCUAAUAAAGGGGGUCCAUGACGGUACCGUAAGAAUAAGCACCGGCUAACUACGUGCCAGCAGCCGCGGUAAUACGUAGGGUGCAAGCGUUAAUCGGAAUUACUGGGCGUAAAGCGUGCGCAGGCGGUUAUAUAAGACAGAUGUGAAAUCCCCGGGCUCAACCUGGGAACUGCAUUUGUGACUGUAUAGCUAGAGUACGGUAGAGGGGGAUGGAAUUCCGCGUGUAGCAGUGAAAUGCGUAGAUAUGCGGAGGAACACCGAUGGCGAAGGCAAUCCCCUGGACCUGUACUGACGCUCAUGCACGAAAGCGUGGGGAGCAAACAGGAUUAGAUACCCUGGUAGUCC